rnacentral:rRNA from 1 species
AUUGAACGCUAGCGGGAUGCUUUACACAUGCAAGUCGAACGAGUGGCGGACGGGUGAGUAAUAUAUCGGAACGUGCCCAGUAGCGGGGGAUAACUACUCGAAAGAGUGGCUAAUACCGCAUACUAAUGGAGCGGCCGAUAUCGGUCUAGCUAGUUGGUGGGGUAAAGGCUCACCAAGGCAACGAUCCGUAGCCGGUGUGAGAGGACGACCAGGCAAACUGGAACUGUGAAACGGCCCAGACUCCUACGGGAGGCAGCAGUGGGGAAUUGUGGACAAUGGAAGGAACCCUGAUCCGGCCAUCCCGCUUGUAUGAGAAGGCCUUCGGGUUGUAAAGUACUUUUGGCAGAGAAGCGGUAUCUGCAGAAUAAGCACCGGCUAACUACGUGCCAGCAGCCGCGGUAAUAC